AAAGACCGUACUUUUGCAUGGUUUAUAUCCAACGUUUGACUAUCCGUUUUAUUUGAAAAAAAAUUAUGAUUAAUAUUUUUGUUGUUGUUAUAUGAUAAAACAUGAAUAGUACUUUAUGUGUGACUAAUUUUUAGAAAAUCCCUUUAAAUUUUUUAAAUAAGACGGACGGUUAAACGUUUGACAAAAAAAAUUCACAACUGCAUUUGAA
rnacentral:pre_miRNA from 1 species